rnacentral:lncRNA from 1 species
UGUAAUACCCGGCUAGACUCCGGUAUCGGAAUUCCUACCGUUCGGUGGAAUCUCGGAUGUCGGAAGCCUCUAGUAGGGUAGAAUCAUGUUUUUAUAAAAUGUUUUAAGGAAUUUCAUGGUUUUAAGUAAAAUGGAAAUGAGUUUUUGCAUAAAAACAACCUUGAAGGAAAACUCAGGUUCGGCCGCCGAAUCUCAAGUUCGGCCGCCGAACAUGCAUGCCUUCGGGAGCGCCUUUAGGCCCCCGAAAGCAUAAGUGAGGAAAGUCCAGGUUCGGCCGCUGAACCUCAAGUUCGGCCGCCGAACCUCAAGUUCGGCCGCCGAACAUGGCAUGCAUGCGGAGGCACGUUCGGCCACCGAACGUGGCCUGGCCAGCCACUAUAAAAG